ensembl:lncRNA
UUCAACCCAGGCCGUUCUGUGAUUCUAUGAAAUAUAAAGAGUGAGAGGUCAAAACUGUGGGUUGGAAUAUUUCUACUUAUCUAGGCUCAUAGUCCACCAUUUCCACAUGGUGAAACCAAGCCCUGAGUGGUCCUGCGUGGAGGGAGGAGUUGGAUUCAGUGAUCCUUAUGGAUCCCUUCCAACUUAGGAUAUUCUAUUUUUCUGUGAUUCUACAAAGUUCUUCACAACAUUCCAACCAUUCUUCACAGCUUCACAACAAUUUUGGCUCAUGUAAUAGCCAGCGUGGCCAGGAGCCAAUUCCUAUAACCAGAGAAGAUAGUAAUUUUCUGAACAAGUAUAUUCCCAUGCCACAGAGUUUCAAGUGUUGGAGCAGAGAAAGCCUUCAAAGACAGUCAAAUGCACAGAAGUGUGUUUAUGGGUGUUUGGGAACAAAACUGCCUCAUUUGCUUCAGACUAAAACUGGCAUAAGCCUACUGGUGGGAGGCAAAAUGAGAGCUCAUCUGGACUUCUUCCAUCCUAAAAUAGAAGGGGAAAUCUCUAGGAAGCAAACCUACGCAUGGAGCCACACAGAGAGAUGAGCCUCAGGAAUCUCCUGGAGUUUCCUGUACUGGGCAAGCAUGGCUUCACAGGACAAACCACUGCCUGCAGGGAUGCCCAGCAGAUAUAGACAGCAAGUGGUGGCCAUACAGAAGAGCAGUGGUCAGUGCAUGACAUUGGUUUGCAACCAGUUGAGUCUGGGGCAUCCAGAGUGGCUGAACUGGUAGACAGAAAACAGAGGCUUCGAUAAGAUAGAGAACUCCUUCUGCAGCAAAAUAUUACAAAUGGAGGGAUGGCAGAUCAUCUUCAGAGCACUCAGGUUUGUACCAUGCUGAAAUGUCCUCGCUGAAAGGACGUGAAAGGUGAAAGGAGCACAUGCCCAGGCUUCAGAAAGAGAUUUUUCCUUUGAACUGAACCACGCAUGUAAUACAAAUUAUUUUGGUGGCAGCAUAUAUGGGUAAGGCACUAAUCAACAUAAACAAGGCUGUCAAAAUGAGAGGAAGAAUGAUAGAAUCUCUAUUUGUUUUGUUUUGAGGGUUUUUUGUUUGUUUGUUUGAUUUUUUAAAAAAAUGCUUCUCUUUAAUUGCAAAAAACUUCAAUGGCCUGAUGUGUUGUAACAUUCUCAUUGUAAAAGGAUAAGCACUCAUUAAAAAAAAGAUCAAC